GCGGAGUUGCCGGAGUGGUCAAACGGGUCAGCCUUAGGCGAGGAGGUUCGCGAAGGACUAAUUUGUUCUAUCAAUAACGCGAGCGGGCCUCGGAGAAAGCUGAUGGCUUAGUGCCUACAUAGGUUCGAAUCCUAUACUCCGCA
rnacentral:tRNA from 1 species